rnacentral:rRNA from 1 species
UACGGGAGGCAGCAGUAGGGAAUUUUCGGCAAUGGGGGAAACCCUGACCGAGCAACGCCGCGUGAGCGAAGAAGGCCUUCGGGUCGUAAAGCUCUGUUGUAAAGGAAGAACGGCGCAUACAGGAAAUGGUAUGCGAGUGACGGUACUUUACCAGAAAGCCACGGCUAACUACGUGCCAGCAGCCGCGGUAAUACGUAGGUGGCGAGCGUUAUCCGGAAUCAUUGGGCGUAAAGAGGGAGCAGGCGGCCGCAAGGGUCUGUGGUGAAAGACCGAAGCUAAACUUCGGUAAGCCAUGGAAACCGGGCGGCUAGAGUGCGGAAGAGGAUCGUGGAAUUCCAUGUGUAGCGGUGAAAUGCGUAGAUAUAUGGAGGAACACCAGUGGCGAAGGCGACGGUCUGGGCCGCAACUGACGCUCAUUCCCGAAAGCGUGGGGAGCAAAUAGGAUUAGAUACCCUAGUAGUCCACGCCGUAAACGAUGGUCACUAAGUGUCGGGGGUCAAACCCCGGUGCUGCAGUCAACGCAAUAANNGACCCGCCUGANUNNUACGUUCGCNAGAAUGAAACUCAAAGGAAUUGACGG